UACAGGGGGGGCAAGCGUUGUUCGGAAUUACUGGGCGUAAAGGGCUCGUAGGUGGCCAACUAAGUCAGACGUGAAAUCCCUCAGCUUAACUGGGGAACUGCGUCUGAUACUGGAUGGCUUGAGUUUGGGAGAGGGAUGCGGAAUUCCAGGUGUAGCGGUGAAAUUCGUAGAUAUUAGGAAGAACACCAGUGGCGAAGGCGGCUCACUGGCCCGGUACUGACGCUGAGGCGCGAAAGCGUGGGGAGCAAACAGG
rnacentral:rRNA from 1 species